CCUUGUUUGCCAGGCAAGCUUCCACGGCUUCGCCCACCGUGAGGAAGAACCAUCCUUCUCCGAUUCCGUCGACGAGCCGUGCCAGUUUCAUCUUGUGGAUCACCUGCCAUCCAGGCUUGGCUAUAGCCAUCUGCAAGUGGGACACGCCAGCUCCUUGUGCAGUUCUUCCAGCGCCACAAGACCUGAAGUAUCCAUGUUUACCACAUCUGCAAGAUAGGAACUCACAUGUCAGGAUAAUGCUAGGUAUUCCCUUUUGUGAUCCCAAUUGCUUGUGAUUAGUGUCUGUACUUUUCUUUGAUGGAACUGGAGUUGACGAAGCAAAGGAAUGAUGUUUCAAUGCGUACGGUCAGUACAGUCGGUGUUUCGUGAACCACUGGAUACUGCUUGACGUUACAGAAGAUUUCUGUGCCCUGAAGCCUCCCAAGAAUCUCUACUUGAGGCCAAAUCGACUGUAUAAUGAUCUUUGCAAAGGAAACAAGAAGCGCAACUGAAAGACCAAUCUCCACUGAUCCGAAUAGAACACCAAGGAAUGAUCCCAUGCAUGUGAGGAAGUCCAUCUUGUCGACUUUCCACAGGAAGCAGACUUCCUGCACAUUGAUCAAUCCUGGAAGAGCUGACAGAAUGAUUGAUGCAAGGAUGGACACAGGUGUGUAGUACAGGAGCUUUGUGAGAAGCUCCAAGGCAACCAUCACAGUGGCAGCCAUGAUAAUGUUUGAAACGGUUGUCUUGCAACCAGCAGCGAAGUUCACAGCUGUGCGCGAGAAUGAACCUGCAGAUAAUUACCAAAGUAAAGAUCCUGCUAUAUUCAUGAAGCCCAUUGCUACCAUUUCCUUAUUUCCGUCCAACCGAUAUCCAUUGAUCGCUGAAAAAGAGCGGCCAACAGCAACAGCUUCCUAGCAAUCACAGCACAAACAAGAGCAAUCUUUGCACAUUCGGCAGCAUAGCCUCCUUUGAGAUCUAUCUGCUCGACAGAACUUGCAUUAAUACCUGAAUUCACUUUUUGUAUAAUCUUCACGCCGUGCUUAUCCGCUCUUGUCGCAUAGACAAACAGAGUAGAUAGUGCAACUGAUAGUACAGGUGCAAUGGCAGAGACCCAAAAGAGUUUCUUGUACUUCCUUCCCUGAAAGUAUUCGCAUAUGCCUGCGCAUGCACAGGUUCAGAUUGAAUAUAAGGGCAAAUACUUACUGUUUCGUGAACUGAAACCCAGACUGCCUUGGUGACAGAGACGACAUCAGUUCUAUUUGUAAAAUGACUAAGUCCAAGCAGCCCCUUCAGCUGCUGUAAUCCAAUCACAAUAGCAGCUCCUCCCAUGAACCCGACGAUAGCAGCAUGUGAUAGAAAAUCCACAAGAAAUCCCAACACUACCUGAACAGACCAAAUGCAAACUGAAAGACACCAGUAAGGAAUGUCACGGUAAAGACCAUUUUUCGGUAGAACGCUGGAUCAACAGAUGGGUCAACUAUCUUCUGAAUCAUUGAUGAAAGCAAUAAUGACACAAUGGCAACUGGUCCAAUGGCUAUCUCCCUAGAGGACCCCGUCACAGCAUAUACAAGAGGUGGCACAACACUUGUAUCUUACCACAAAAUAAAACCAUAUUCAUCUCAAAAAACAAACAAUUACCUGUGGAAUGCUAAGGCUUGCAAGAGUUAGGCCAGCCAUGAGGUCACUUCGAAAGAAUUUCAGAUUGUAGGUUUUCCACCAGUCAAGUAUUGGAAACAGACCCUGUAGAACAGACAUCACAUACACAGACAGUGUGAAGCGCUUGUCUGCACCUUGCCAACGGAAUGCCUUCCUGAACAUGCCGGUGAGAUCAUUCCACAGGCUUGGGUGCUCUGGCCCUUGCAGCA
rnacentral:sRNA from 1 species